rnacentral:rRNA from 1 species
UGGGGAAUCUUGGACAAUGGGCGCAAGCCUGAUCCAGCCAUGCCGCGUGAGUGAAGAAGGCCCUAGGGUUGUAAAGCUCUUUCGCCCGCGACGAUGAUGACGGUAGCGGGAGAAGAAGCCCCGGCUAACUCCGUGCCAGCAGCCGCGGUAAUACGGAGGGGGCUAGCGUUGUCCGGAAUUACUGGGCGUAAAGCGCGCGUAGGCGGUCCACCAAGUCGGGGGUGAAAGCCCGGGGCUCAACCCCGGAAUGUCCUCCGAGACUGUUGGACUGGAGUUCGGGAGAGGAGAGCGGAAUUCCCAGUGUAGAGGUGAAAUUCGUAGAUAUUGGGAAGAACACCGGUGGCGAAGGCGGCUCUCUGGCCCGCAACUGACGCUGAGGCGCGAAAGCGUGGGGAGCAAACA